rnacentral:rRNA from 1 species
UACGAAGGGGGCUAGCGUUGUUCGGAAUCACUGGGCGUAGAGGGCGCGUAGGCGGCCGAUCAAGUCGGGGGUGAAAGCCUGUGGCUCAACCACAGAAUUGCCUUCGAUACUGUUUGGCUUGAGACCGGAAGAGGUUAGUGGAACUGCGAGUGUAGAGGUGAAAUUCGUAGAUAUUCGCAAGAACACCAGUGGCGAAGGCGGCUCACUGGCCCGGUACUGACGCUGAGGUGCGAAAGCGUGGGGAGCAAACAGG